rnacentral:antisense_RNA from 1 species
AGUCCCAGGCUCGCCCAGGCCCGGCCGCCGGCCCGCGCGCACCUGCAGCCGCUAACGGUCCCCCUCUCCGCCCUGGGGGAGCCGGGAGGAUGUGCAGCCCCAGUCCUCCUGCUCGGCGGAGCCUCGCGCGCGCAGAGCCUAGCGCGAUUCGCGCCCUCAUUACCACUACAAAGCGCGGGCCAGACCAAUCCCCUUUCUAAUGCACCAUUUUCGACUGAGAACAUCAAGAGGCCAGAAACUUCCAAGUCAGCUUGCAGACGCAGACGCCUCCUGGGGUCCUGGCUUUAAGAACCAGAUGCCAACAUUCCUGGACAGUUUAUGGCAUCCGGAUCCCUCAAGGGUGCUCAUCUGCAGUUGAGAGUCUAAUAAAUGGCAUUAAUAAAGCGUUUCAGCGACUACCAUGGCUUAACAGUGGCUCCUCCCCUGCCCUGCCA